CUUAAGCUCCAUAGAACAUCUGGGUUUUCCCAGGUAUGACAUGGCUUAAAGUGCUUCUGUCAGACCUGUCUUUUUUAAGUUUUAUGUUUCUAUUUGCAUUGCAGUGAGACAUGAAAGUUUUUUCAAAAUGUUAGAAAUUUCCAUACAUAGAAAUUUUGGCCACUUCUCCAGGGAAGGACAGCAUUGCCUUUGCAGGUUGAAUUGACAGAGACACCAAAACAAUGAUUCAAGUUAAAUCACAGAAGACAGAGUUUAUCCAUUUGCAGAGAAUGUAAAAAGUUUUAGAUGUAUUCCCAAAGAAAAGUUUCCUGGCUUUCUAUGGUAUUUUGAAACACAUCCAAGCCAUAAUUGGAGCACCCAAGAGGCACCUGUUUGAGUAUGUGCUGCAGAGCUCAUACAGCAGCCAUGAAUGGCCUUCUACAAAAUGCUUAAAGAAAAUACAUAGGAGUUUGAAAUUAAAUUAUCCCAGAAUUCAACUCUGA
ensembl:lncRNA